AAGGAAGGCAUCAGUUCUUGCACUGCAGAAUCUUUAUGAGGUGGAUGAUAAUGUACCAUCUCUUGGCCUUUUCACGGAGAGAUUUUAUAAAAGGAUGAUCGAGCUUGCUGAUGAUGUUGAUAUUUCUGUGGCAGUAUGUGCUAUAGGACUUGUGAAACAACUGAUAAGACAUCAACGUGUUCCUGAGGAGGAAUUAAGUUCUUUAUAUGAUUUGCUAAUUGAUGAUCCACCUGAAAUCAGGCGUGCCAUUGGAGCUCUAGUGUAUGAUAAUCUGAUUGCCCAGCGAUUGAACAGUUCACAAUCUAGUUCAGGGGAUAAUGCUGAUUCUUCUGAGGUUCAUCUUAACAGACUGUUGCGCAUAUUGGGAGAGUUUUCAAAAGACGAAAUGCUGAGUAUGUAUGUCAUUGAUGAUAUCUGGGAGUAUAUGGACGCCAUGAAAGAUUGGAAACGUAUCCUGUCUAUGCUCUUGGAAGAAGAGCUAUCAGCUGAACUGAGUGAUGCAGACGCAACAAACCUAAUUCGGCUGCUUUUUGCGUCCAUUAGGAAGGCAGUUGGAGAGAAGAUUGUUCCUGCCAGUGAUAAUAAAAAACAAUAUUAUACUAAAGCACAAAAGGACAUGUUUGAAAGUUCUAAGCGUGAUAUAACCAUUGCUAUGAUGAGGAAUUAUCCGCAGCUUCUUCGCAAAUUUAUAUCUGACAAAGCAAAAAUUCCCUAUCUACUUGAAAUCAUUGUUCAUAUGAACCUUGAGCUCUAUUCUCUUAAACGAC
rnacentral:misc_RNA from 1 species